UUUUAUAUGCCGCUUUGGCAGUCUAUAUCAUGGCUACAUUACAGUUGCCGAGAAACCUAAAGAUGGAUUUGAAUAUUGCAACAGCCAGAGCAGUCCUCUCCCCAGUGAACCUCAAUGCUGCAACUCCUGAGGCAUUCACUGUGCUUCAGAAGAGGAUGAAAAUAGCAGAAGAGCAGUCCAAUACCUUAAUGAAUGACCUAAUAAUGUUAGGUUUGACUGGACAAAGUCUUCAGACUCUUUCUACAGUACCUUUAGAAGAUUCUGAGAACCAGAAGAUCAUUCAUCCUCUCCAGGCCAGGGGUCCUUUUGUGGGAGAAAAUAAUGUUUUGUGGAAGAACUGUGAAACUCUGGUGAAUAAUAUGUGCCAGCUAGAAAGCAUCAUGCAAAAUCUGAAGGCGAAAAUCUCACAACUUCAGAAUAAAACAGAGUUCAAUCCACAAAAUUCAGUUUAUAUGAAAGAUCAGCUAAAUGCACUACAGGAAGAGCAUCCACAUGACCUGGGGGAGAUGCAUCUGGAAGUCAUGAAUUUGCAUAAGCAACUGAGAGAUAUGAAGAAAGAAGGAAACCAGGCACAAGAUGAAGUUCAAAGAUUGAGCACCACACUGGAGAUCACAACAGCAACAAAGCUAAGGGAACAGCUAUCUCAGGAGAAGAAUCUAAGGGAAUCUCUAGAGGAAUCCCAAGAAGCUAUGCUGUGCAGAGUGCAGGAUAUGGAAACAACAGUUGAGUUGGAACGAGAACAGGUAAAAGCCCUACAACAAGACUGCUUAACCCUGAGAAAAAGUAUAGAGACCACCCAAGAACAGCUGCAUCAGGAACAGCAACGAGCAGCACAGCUGGAGUCUGACUGCGCAAAGCUGAGGACCGAGCUAAGAUCCAAAGAUGAUGUCAUUUCCCAGCUACUUGAAGAUGGAAAGACUUUGUACUUGUCUUUUAACCAAGAGCACAAGGAGACUACACAUUUAAAGUCUGAGAUGGCAUCCCUUCAGGAAACAGCAAAAAAAGUACAGAUGUUAAAUGAUCGAUUGAACAAACAGUGUUCAGACCUGAAUAACAAGCUUCAGACUGUUACUAUGGAGAAUGUCAGACUCAUUGCAGAUCAUCAAGCUUUUCUAAAGGCAGAGCAAGAAAAAGUGACACAAAAGUUGCAGGAGCAAGAUUUAAUGUUGGAUGCUACCAGGACCAGUAUUGCAAAAGAACUACAAAAUGUUCAGAAUGAAAGAACCCAACUUCAAAAAUGCCUUGAUGCCUUACACCUUGAACACAGCAAAUGUAAACAAAAAGCAAAGGAAGUGGAAAAGAGAACAACAACACAAAAAGAGCUACAAGAGUAUACUAUUGUUAGAUUGCGAGGCGAACUAGAAGUAGCACUAAAAGAAAGAAAAUCUCUAUUGAAGGGAAGAGAAAAUCUACACAAAGAGUUAAAGAAAACAGAGAGUGACAGAACACAAGAAAAAAGCAAACUUGAAAUGGAAUUAAAGAAAAACAAGGAGGAAAUGAGUGCCUUAAUUGGUACCCUACAGGCCCUAGAGAAGGAGAAUAGGCAGUUGAUGGAUAGGAUGACAACAAUGGAACACCAAAAAGUAGUCUCUGAAAACCAUGAGCAUACCCAGCAGCAGGUGAAGAAGGUCCUGGGAAAAAUUACUGAUAGUAAGAAUAAACUGUCCUAUGAGAAGGGGAAGCUCCAGACAAAAGUUAAACAGCUACAAAAAGAAAUAAACUCUCUUGCUGAUGCACGUUCAGAGAAUGACGAACUACGCAAGUUGAAUAAAGCCCUGGAGACAAAAUAUGCUCAGAUGCAAACUAUUCUUGAAAAGAAUGAAGACGAUUUUUCUCGGGCAAUUAAAUCCCGUGAUGUGUCGUCAAGAGAAAGUCAUAAAAUGAGGGGGCACCUGGAGGCUUUGGAAGAAAGGGAAAGGAGCAAGAUGGGAAAUUUUCAGCGACAGCUGGCAGAGGCUAAGGAAGAUAACUGCAAAGUCACAAUCAUGCUGGAGAAUGUACUAGCUUCUCAUAGUAAAAUGCAAGGAGCUCUGGAGAAGGUGCAGAUGGAAUUAGGGAGGAGGGAUUCAGAGAUUUCGGACCUCAAGAAAGAGAGGCUUCUAAAUCAGCAGAAGGUACAGAAGUUAGAAGCAGAAUUGGAUGAAUGGCAAUCCAGGCUCCUUAUUGUAGAAGCCCAGCACAAUAGUGAGGUGGAACCACUGCAUAAUGCACUAGAUGUGUCCAGAGAAGACAAUAGGAAGCUUGCUUUGAGCUUGGAACAAGCUCUACAAACUAAUGGCCAACUCCAACAGAUGCUGGACCGUAUUCAAGAGAAAUUGGACAGCAAAGAAAUUGAGCAGCAAACUUUGGAAAAUUACAAGGAACAGGUGGCUGAGGAAUCCAAAAUGCAAGCUGAGAUGACUGCUGAACGCAUAGAUUCUUUGAGAAAGCAGUUUCAGUCUGAGAGAGAGACUGUCAGGAAAGCUGCACAACGGGAAACAAAUGAGCUGAGGAAAGCCCUUGAUGAUGCCAACUCCAGAUCAGUGGAAGUGUCUCGGGCCAACAGAGAGCUGCGACAGAAAGUGACAGAACUAGAGAAAACAUUAGCCAAUCUCAAGGAAAAAUUAAAGAGCCAGAAGGCCCAGAUCAAGCACCAUUUGUCUUCCAAGGCUCAAAAUGUCCAGAAUGCAGAGAGAAUAAAGCAAAUAGAAACAGAAUUGAAGCAAAUGGAGCUAAUUAAGGAUCAAUAUCAGAAAAAGGAUUAUGAACAGUCACUGAGCAUCAAGGAAUUUGUGGCUGAAGUGACCACUCUGCAGCGGGAAAUGCAGAUGUUAGCAAAGAGCCAACAUGAUUUCUCAGCACAAAAUAAGCAACAACAAUUACGACUAGAGGCAGAACGAAAAAUGAGGCUAGAGUUGGAGAGUCGGUGCCAGGAAAUGGGAGAAACAAUCAGACACCUAAGAAAAUGUAAAGAAGUAACGGAACAUAAACUGAAAGAAGCCAGCGCGGAAUCAGAACAGAUAACAGCUAACCUAGAAGAAGCUCACCGCUGGUUCAAGUGUAAGUUUGAUGGCCUACAACUGGAGCUUAGCAAAAACCGGUUACAGCGGCUUCCGCAAGACAAUAAAUGGAAGGAGGACAUGACUUUUGCGGAUGGGACUUCAAGGUAUAACAGGGUACCUGCUCAGUCUGCAUUGCACCGCUGGGAGACGAAACAGCAGCUUAGAUACCUGUCCAAGAAGUACCAGCCAGAGAUGAGCAGGAAGUGAUCACCACCAGCAACAAAAAAGGAUCAGAAAUUGCUGCUACAGAACCAUAAGUGGAAGGAAUUGGCUGUCUAAUUCUGAACCAUAUAGCAUUACCAGAAGAGUGCUGAUAUUAACAAGAUGAGCCUUUGCUUCAGGAAGAAUCUUUGGAUCAUUAAGAACGCCGUGCAGUAUCCAAAACACAAUCCAACCCUCUCUCCUCCACCUGUUCAGUUUUUGUCCAAAAUAUACGUACUGAUAAACCAGCUCUAUAAGUUGUCUGUCCAGCUAAAUGAACAUUCUUCAUCCACUUGAUUUUUCCUAAGUGGAUAAUUAAACCGAACAAGUUAUUAUGGAUCUCAUUGAGGUGUAGUUAUGUUUUAGGGCUUAAUGCAGUCAGCACACUGUCAUCCAAAAACAUGGAGGACCUCACCAUAUAUAGGUGAAGUAUAUAGGAAAUUCCCCUUUCAUUUGGAUAUCCUGAAUGACAACAGCAAAAAUCUUUGCUGGGCAUAGGGUCUCCCUGUUUCAUACCUCAUUUGACAUAAAUAAUCAGAGGGCAGUCAAAUAAGAUUAUCUCUCAUUACAUCCUUCAAAGAAUUUACCUUACCAUUUGCAUGGGACCCCCUUAUUGAAGGAGAGCCUUUUAAGGUGACAUUUUUCUCAACUGAAUCAAAUGCUUUUUUAUAGUCCACAAACAAUAAGCAGAAUGAGAUCUUAAAUUCUUUGUACCUUUCAGUAAUUUGUGGUAUUAUAAAGAUGUCUCAAGCAGAAUAUCCUUUAUAAGAAUCUGGCUGUUCCAUUCUCAUACCUUGGUUAGAGAUGUCCUAGAGGCAUGUGUAGAUUAUUCUCAUAAAGAUUUUAUAUGUAAAACUCAAAUGAUUCUAUCGUCUUUUCCAUUAAGAGUAGUGCUUCCAGCAAUGCAAAUCACCCUCCAACACUGUCUUUCAAAACUAUGUAUUUUGUGCCUGGCUUCUCAUAUUUCACCAUGGGAGAUCCAUUCCAUGAAUAAGGGAAUCUUCCUCUAAUUCUCACAGCACUGAAACAGUUGGCUUCAGUUAGCCCUCAUUCUCUUUACAUGAACAAACAUUUUUUAAAGCAAACAGUUCUUUGAUGACAUCUUUUAUACUCUUUAUCCUUUUUAAUUAUUUGUAACAUGUGCUUUGCAUACACCUACCAUCCAUCUCAUCCAUCUCUCCAUUGCCUUUUGUGUUAUCA